UUCGAGUGGCGGACGGGUGAGUAACGCGUGGGUAACCUGCCUUACACAGGGGGAUAACACCUGGAAACAGGUGCUAAUACCGCAUAAGCGCACAGGGCCGCAUGGCCCGGUGUGAAAAACUCCGGUGGUGUAAGAUGGACCCGCGUCUGAUUAGCUUGUUGGCGGGGUAGGGGCCCACCAAGGCGACGAUCAGUAGCCGGCCUGAGAGGGCGGACGGCCACAUUGGGACUGAGACACGGCCCAAACUCCUACGGAAGGCAGCAG
rnacentral:rRNA from 1 species